GACGACGACUCCUACGGGAGGCAGCAGUGGGGAAUAUUGCACAAUGGGGGAAACCCUGAUGCAGCCAUGCCGCGUGUGUGAAGAAGGCCUUCGGGUUGUAAAGCACUUUCAGUAGGGAGGAAGGUAGUGUAGUUAACACCUGCAUUAUUUGACGUUACCUACAGAAGAAGCACCGGCUAACUCCGUGCCAGCAGCCGCGGUAAUACGGAGGGUGCGAGCGUUAAUCGGAAUUACUGGGCGUAAAGCGCAUGCAGGCGGCCUGUUAAGUCAGAUGUGAAAGCCCCGGGGCUUAACCUCGGAAUUGCAUUUGAAACUGGCAGGCUAGAGUCUUGUAGAGGGGGUAGAAUUUCAGGUGUAGCGGUGAAAUGCGUAGAGAUCUGAAGGAAUACCAGUGGCGAAGGCGGCCCCCUGGACAAAGACUGACGCUCAGAUGCGAAAGCGUGGGGAGCAAACAGGAUUAGAUACCCUGGUAG
rnacentral:rRNA from 1 species